rnacentral:misc_RNA from 1 species
GAAAAAAGGAUAUUUAAAAAACUCAAAUAGUUCAUGGCUACCCAUAAAUCUCCCUGACACAGAAAUGAUGGUUCUUGCUUGAGACUUGAUACUGGAUCUCACAAACGCUGUCGUUUCGUUUCGCUUGCUCUCUCUCUGCCAUAAAAGAUCUCUCUGUUUGCAUUAGGGUUUUGCUUUUACACAAGCAAAGCAAAUGGCGGACCCCUCGAACAUGGUCGUCGACGUCGACGCUGAGCCAGAUGCCAAUGCCCUAGUUCAGCCCAGGAAAACCCUCAAGCGAAAGCGACCAUCUUCAACCUCAACGGCGCUGGCCUUCAACUUAACGAUUGACCAGAAGGCAGCCCAAAUCGAAGCCCUUAACAAAGAACUCGAAGGGCUUUUUGGAUAUUACAAACAAGUGGUGAAUCAGAAAGUGGGGUGUGGUUUUUCUUUAGAUUCGGGUGCAAAUGAUGGUAAUACGCUGAAUGGGAUGGUGGGCUUGUUGAUGGAGGAAAGCGACUUGCCUCUGUCGAAAUUGGUGGAUGUGAUUUAUAGAAAGUUGGUGGGGGAGAGACUGAAGGACAAUGUGAGUGUUACGGUGGCGGUGGUCAAGAGUGCGGUGUUGUUUGUAGGGCAGAGAGUGAUGUAUGGAGUGCCUAAUGUGGAUGCUGAUGUUUUGGAGGAUGAGACUCAGGCUUGUCUCUGGUGUUGGGAGACAAGAGAUCUAAAGCUGAUGCCAAAAAAUGUGCGUGGUGCAUUGACAAUUCGGCGAAUGUGUAGGAAAAAGAUCCAAGAGAGAAUUAGUGCUGUUUCUGCAAUGAUAUCUGCUUUACAAAAGUUAGAGAGUGAUCAGACUUGCACAACUGAUUUGAUGAGAGCAUCAGAAAAGCUUGGUAAAGUGUUACAAGAGGCAGAUAUCCGUUUGUUAGUGGAUAGUAUGUUGCAGAAGAAUGGUGCAGAGAUGGCUGGCAAGGAAGCAAGACGAGAGCAGAAAUUGCUCAUCAAACAACUGGAGAAAAAUAAAAAAGAAGCUGAAAAGGAGAAAAAGAGGAUGGACCUUGAACUUCAAAAGGAAAAGAGGCAAACUGAAAAGGAGCAAAAGCGAUUGCAGGAGGAGGCAGACAAGGAUGAAAAACGUCGUGAAAAAGAAGAGUCCGAAAUGAGGAGGCAUCUAAGAAAGCAGCAAGAGGAAGCUGAAAAAGAACAACGGCGUAGAGAGAAGGAAGAAGCUGAACUGAAAAAGCGAAUUGCUAUACAGAAGCAAGCUUCAAUCAUGGAACGCUUUAUUAAAAGAAGCAAAAGUAAUUCACCAUGUCAAAAUGAUGAGGCUUUAACAAAGAUGCCCGCACCUGAUUUGAAAAGCAAGCAUAGUGAGAAGAUGCCAGGAGCAGUUACUGUAGCGAUGGACCAUACUCUUUCAUCAAAUGAUAACCUUAGAUUUAAUGAUAUUCGCAAGUUGCACUUAUCUUCAUGGCAACAUUUAGGUCAUGCUAUUCAUUCAAAUAGAAAACAGCAUUGGAGCAUCCGUCAGAGACCUAAGACUGAAUUGUUCAAGGAACUUAAGCUAACUGCUACAAGGGAACUUGCUCAUGAUGAUGACUCGAGUGUAGAUAAGCUUGUAAGCAGAUGGGGAGAACAGUCCUCUGAUGAUAGAUCAUUUGUAACUAAUUCAGAGAGUUCUCCUGAUUGUAAAAAGUGGACGAGGAGGAAGCAGUUGUUGCAGUUUGAUAAGAGUUAUAGACCUGCAUUUUAUGGCAUUUGGCCUAAGAAAAGUCAUGUCAUUGGACCACGCCACCCUUUUAGGAAGGAUCCAGACUUGGAUUAUGAUAUUGACAGUGAUGAAGAAUGGGAAGAGGAGGAUCCUGGUGAAAGCCUCUCAGAUUGUGACAAGGAUGAUGAAGAACGAAGUUUAGAGGAAGGAUGUUCAAAAGACGAUGAAGAAGAAAGUGAAGAUGGAUUUUUUGUACCUGAUGGGUAUCUCUCAGAAAAUGAGGGAGUACAAGUUGACAGAAUGGAAACUGAUCUAUUAGUUGAGGAGGGCAGAGGAUCAGAAAGUUGCAAUCAAGACUCAGAAAGUGAGGAAUUUUACAUGUUGCUUCAACAACAAAAGUAUCUGAACAACUUAACAGAGACUGCACUUCGGAAAAAUCAGCCCUUGAUUAUAUUAAAUCUAAUGCAUGAGAAAGUCCCAUUAUUACUGGCAGAAGAUCUAACUGGUACUCAUAAAUCGGAAAAGAUGUGUUUGGAAGCUCUUAGCAUGCGUACUUUCCCAGGUUGGCUGCCUAUGGAAAUAUCAAUGGCAAACAUACAAUCUGAAGAUCAAGAUGUGUGUGGUUCAAGUGGCAAGGCCACUAGAACACAUACCUCAACUGCAAUAACCAUAAAAGGAUCAGAUAUGCCUAUAAUUGUUUCUGCUAUUCAGUCUUGCCCACAUAAUAUCAACAAAGUGGUGGAAUCCUUGCAGCAGAAAUUCCCUACUGUGCCAAAGUCUCAAUUAAGAAAUAAAGUUCGUGAGAUAUCUGAUUUUGUAGACAAUCAUUGGCAGGUCAAGAAAGAAAUUCUGGAUGAAAUUGGCAUAUCAAUAUCACCAGCGAAGGGAGGGAUACGGAUGCAAAAUAUUUCAACGUUUUUCUCAAAGAGGUGCUUGCCUCCAGCUGGUAAAAGUAUCAAUCCCAUUGAGAGUUCUCCGCAGUCAUCUCUAAAAUCUGAUUCUGUAGUGGAGGGGCAACAGGCUUUCACAUGCUCACACCUGUAGCCUUCCUGUUUUCUGUUGUUUACCUUUCUGCAAAAAUCCCAAUAGGGUGUAAUUACAAAUCCUCUCAUAUAAGUUGAAAUGUCAUAAAUUUUGUUCUGAAUCGCUGAGUUGAAUCAGAUGGCUAACCAGAGCUCUUGUAAAAUGAUACUGACAAGAAUGUUUUAGGUUAGUCUAGACUAUAAAUGCUUAUGGCUUUGGCUUCACUUUUGUUUCAUCUUUUUUGGAUUUUGUUUGAAUGUUUGUCGUAUCAAGGCACACGAGUGGUUUUGGUUUUGCA